UCGUGGUACGUUCUCCGUCUGUGCCGGUGCCGGGCUUCUCUCCGCUGGGUGGCCGGCCGUCGUCGGCGUUUUCCCGCGCCCGGGGCAACCCGUGGCGUUGUGGUGGCGCAGGCGGCGGUGGCCAGGCGCCCGGACUCGUUUACUUUGAGUAAAGGAGAGUGCUUAAGGCAGGCUUAUUUCGCCUGUGGAUCUCGGUGCAUGGAAUAAUGGAACAGGGCCUCGCGCCUUUGUUUGUUGGUUUCCGGGCGCUCCGAGGUAAUGAUUAAGAGGGACGGUUCGGGGACAUUCGUACUGCGGCGUGAGAGGUGAAAUUCUUGGAUCGCUGCAAGACGAACUGCGGCGAAGGCAUUUGUCAAGGACGUCCUUAUUAAUCAAGAACGAAAGUUAGAGGUUCGAAGGCGAUCAGAUACCGCCCUAGUUCUGACCGUAAACGAUGCCAACUGACGAUCCGCCCCUUGUCGCGCGCAAGACGGGGUGGGCAGCCCCCGGGAAACCAAAGUUUUUGGGUUCCGGGGGGAGUAUGGUUGCAAAGCUGAAACUUAAAGGAAUUGACGGAAGGGCACCACAAGGAGUGGAGCCUGCGGCUUAAUUCGACUCAACACGGGAAACCUCACCAGGCCCGGACACCGGAAGGAUUGACAGACCUUUCUCUAUGAAGCUCUUUCUCGAUUCGGUGGGUGGUGGUGCAUGGCCGUUCGUGGUUGGUGGAGCGAUCUGUCUGGUUCAUUCCGAUAACGAACGAGACUCCGGCCUGCUAACUAGGCGGCGACUCCGUGCUUGUUGCGGCGUCUGCUGGUGCUUCUUAGAGGGACGGGCGGCGG
rnacentral:rRNA from 1 species